CUGCAGCUCAAGUGGUGACCGCUAUUAUUGGGCCUAAAACGUUCGUAGCCGGCUGAGUAAAUGCUUGGGUAAAUCGUGCCGCUUAACGGUACGAAUUCCGGGUAGACUACUCAGCUUGAGACCGGGAGAAGCUAGAGGUACUCCUGGGGUAGAGGUGAAAUUCUGUAAUCCUGGGGGGACCACCAGUGGCGAAGGCGUCUAGCUAGAACGGGUCUGACGGUGAGGGACGAAGCCCUGGGGCGCAAACCGGAUUAGAUACCCGAGUAGUCC
rnacentral:rRNA from 1 species